UGAUCUGCUAAGAUGCCAGAA
rnacentral:piRNA from 1 species